rnacentral:tRNA from 1 species
UCUAAUUAAGUGUAUACGCACAUUGACUUUUCACGUCAAAAGAGCACUACUGCAUUUAGUU